rnacentral:rRNA from 1 species
AAUGAACGCUGGCGGCGCGCCUAAUACAUGCAAGUCGAGCGAGAAGACGUAGCAAUACGUUUGUAAAGCGGCGAACGGGUGAGGAAUACAUGGGUAACCUACCCUCGAGUGGGGAAUAACUAGCCGAAAGGUUAGCUAAUACCGCGUACGCUUCUUGGACUUCGGUUCAGGGAGGAAAGCGAUGCCGAGGGUAUCGCGCUCUUGGAUGGGCUCAUGUCCUAUCAGCUUGNGGUGAGGUAACGGCUCACCAAGGCUUCGACGGGUGCUGGUCUGAGAGGACGAUCAGCCACACUGGCACUGC